CCUGCCCAGUGACAUAGUUAAACGGCCGCGGUACCCUGACCGUGCGAAGGUAGCAUAAUCACUUGUUCUUUAAAUGGGGACUCGUAUCAACGGCAUCACGAGGGCUUUACUGUCUCCUUUCUCCAAUCAGUGAAACUGAUCUCCCCGUGAAGAAGCGGGGAUGACAAUAUAAGACGAGAAGACCCCAUGGAGCUUUAAACCCAACGACACCCCUCAACCCCCCAACCCAUUAUAGUUGCUACAGCCCUGUUCGUUGGUUUUAGGUUGGGGUGACCGCGGAGUAUAAAUUACCCUCCACGACGAAUGGGACUACCCCCUUACCCAAGAGCUACUCCUCUAAGGAUCAACAGAUUGACGUAAAAUGAUCCAAGCAUUUGAUCAACGGACCAAGUUACCCUGGGGAUAACAGCGCAAUCCAUUUCAAGAGCUCCUAUCGACAAAUGGGUUUACGACCUCGAUGUUGGAUCAGGGUACCCAAGUGGUGCAGCCGCUACUAAUGGUUUGUUUGUUCAACAAUUAAAACCCU
rnacentral:rRNA from 1 species